GGGUAUGAUGGAAUCCUCCUUGACGUAGUCCUCUUUUUUUUCUUAACUUUACAUUUUAUUGUAUCUGUAGUGUAGCUUGCAAGGAGCAUGGGUCAUUAUAAAUACCCAGAUCCUAAUUGUAUUUCCCACUUUUGAGAUUAAUGAGAAUAGAAUUUUCUAAAUUCAGAAACUAUUCUUUCUUGAAAGUCACAAGGCUAGAGAGUCCAAAGACUCCCUCUAGCCACCUUCCAAGCACCUCUUCAUAUUUUUCAUUUUCCAUUUCCAUGGUGCUCCUUAUCUCUCCUCGGCCACGCUGAACCAUACAUCCGCUGCCACCUCUUCAACCUCGCGUCAGCCUUUUGCUCACGACAGAGUCAUCAACCACAUCACACUUCAUCCUCGUGUUUCAUUUCCAUUCGCGUUUCAUUUUUCCUCUGCUAGGGUUUCUCUCUCGAGGACGCCAGAGGCAUUUCGCUUCCUCUCGAGAGUUCUUCAUGGUAAUCAUCUUUCUCUCCUUAGAAUCUUCCAUUUCUUUGGUUUUCCACCGGUCAAAAUCCUUUUCCCACUGUUUAAAUCCAUUUCCGCCGAUUGUAUUUCCGUUUUCUACCUUUUAAACCACUUUCCACCAAUUAAAACUUCUUCUCCUCCCUUUAAUCGGUUUAGAUUAGGGUUUUUACUCUAUUUAGGUUUUUUAACGAGUUCAUCCUCUGUGUCGAGUUUUUCCCUCAGUUUUCUUCGAGUUCGCUCUUGGUUUCAAGUUUAUCAUAUUUCGCUGCAUCUUUCGUUGUCGGAGAAUCUUCGCCGGAGUUGAAUCGUGCGUUCAGUCACUUCGCGGAGCUAUUCUUCCAUCACAACCCAGUUUCUGAAUUUUUCUAUCUUUUAUUUUGUUUUAUUUUAUUUUAUU
rnacentral:lncRNA from 1 species